UGGAGUCGUCCUUGAAAUACCACCCUUGUAGUUUUGAUGUUCUAACGUUGGUCCCUGAAUCGGGAUUACGGACAGUGCCUGGUGGGUAGUUUGACUGGGGCGGUCUCCUCCCAAAGAGUAACGGAGGAGCACGAAGGUGGGCUAAACACGGUUGGACAUCGUGUGGUUAGUGCAAUGGCAUAAGCCCGCUUGACUGCGAGAAUGACAAUUCGAGCAGGUGCGAAAGCAGGUCAUAGUGAUCCGGUGGUUCUGAAUGGAAGGGCCAUCGCUCAACGGGUAAAAGGUACUCCGGGGAUAACAGGCUGAUACCGCCCAAGAGUUCAUAUCGACGGCGGUGUUUGGCACCUCGAUGUCGGCUCAUCACAUCCUGGGGCUGAAGUCGGUCCCAAGGGUAUGGCUGUUCGCCAUUUAAAGUGGUACGCGAGCUGGGUUUAGAACGUCGUGAGACAGUUCGGUCCCUAUCUGCCGUGGGCGUUGGAAAAUUGAAAGGGGCUGCUCCUAGUACGAGAGGACCGGAGUGGACGAACCUCUGGUGUUCGGGUUGUCAUGCCAAUGGCAUUGCCCGGUAGCUAAGUUCGGAAUCGAUAACCGCUGAAAGCAUCUAAGCGGGAAGCGAGCCUUGAGAUGAGUUUUCCCUGGCACUAUAAGUGUCCUAAAGGGUUGUCGUAGACUACGACGUUGAUAGGCAGGGUGUGUAAGUGCUGCGAGGCAUUGAGCUAACCUGUACUAAUUGCCCGUGAGGCUUAACCAUACAACACCCAAGGGGUUU
rnacentral:rRNA from 1 species